AACCCUGUGGGAGCGAGCUUGCUCGCGAUAGCGACGACUCGGUGUGUCAGAUACACCGCUAUCGCGAGCAAGCUCGCUCCCACACAGGC
rnacentral:misc_RNA from 1 species